UCUGAUCUGCGGCGAGGUAAGGAGGAGCAGGAGGGAUCCGAUCCGGUCCGAUUUGCUGCGAGGUGAGGAGGAGCAGGAGGGAUCCGAUCCGGUCCGAUUUGCUGCGAGGUGAGGAGGAGCAGGAGGGAUCCGAUCCGGUCCGAUCUGCGGCGAGGUGAGGCAGCAACUGUCAAGAGAAGAAUAGC